rnacentral:rRNA from 1 species
UACGUAGGGGGCAAGCGUUGUCCGGAAUCAUUGGGCGUAAAGCGCGCGUAGGCGGCCCGGUAAGUCCGUUGUAAAAGUCGAAGGCUCAACCUUCGAAAGCCGAUGGAUACUGUCGAGCUCGAGUCCGGAAGAGGCGAGUGGAAUUCCUGGUGUAGCGGUGAAAUGCGCAGAUAUCAGGAGGAACACCAAUGGCGAAGGCAGCUCGCUGGGACGUGACUGACGCUGAGACGCGAAAGCGUGGGGAGCAAACAGG